UUUCUGGAUAGAAUUAUUGGUUUUAAAAAAAUUAGCAUAAUCUCAUUAAUCUGGACAGUGGACACCUGUGCCUGUCGUGCCACGUGGUUAACUUAGUGAUGGUCCUGAUGGAGAUGGACGACGGAGUCACGGAGAUGGAUGCCAAGCUCCUUUUCAUCUUAGAUUUAAGCGGCCUUUCCUCCCUUCUUCCUCCAGAUAUUUUGUUCUCCUUAUCCUGUAGAAUAUUAAUGGGCACUAAUGCCAAACAUAUUAAAUGGAACUACGGUGUUCUUGGGGAUAAGGCCCAGGCAACUAUGUGGCCCCUAAAGAUCAAACCCGGACCCCAAACCAUCAGCUCUAUCAGCUACUGGCUCUCUCGGUACAAGGGCACCCAUGGGACACCCCCACUAUUGCACACCACCAUUUAGUCAUGUAAUGAAACGUAUUUAUCUGAUUUUGGAUUUAUUUUCUGAAGUUGAAGACUCCUAUGAAAAAUUGAUAUUGAAGGUUGUUUUUCUGCCAGAUCUGCGGAGUCAAUUAAGUAUAAUAAUAAAUGUAAUUUGGAUAGGAUUUAAACUAAUAAUGAGCUCUCCUUCAGUUCUGGACCUUGUCUCUCAGUCUUCUAUUAAUCUUAAAUCUUUAAAGUCAUGUUUACAGUCAUUUGGAGGUGGCGUAAUCCCUCUCUCUGCCCUAGUGGCCUCUCCUAUUUCUCCAUUGACUUGCACGCCAUCACUGCUGCUACCACCAGAGACAUUAUCUUGAUAAACUAAACAAACCAAUUACCAAGGCACACCCACCCCACUUGUUAUAUAAUACAAGUAAGUUACUGUUGGCUGGGGUUAGAUUUUAUUGCAAAAUAACCCACAUUGUUUUUAUUUGAAUGCUUGUUAAGCUCAUCAAUGCAACUUUUGCAGAAUGAGUUUGAUUUACUUUAAGCCGCUUCAAUUUACAAUCAAAACCCAUUACUUUGAUUAAGGCAAGGAAUUAUAAAUAAUUCAACGACAUAAAUUAACUAAAGCUGAUAUCCAAUCUCCAAAAAUGCUAAAUUGGUACACACACAUAUUACUAUAGUGGUUUAUUAUUAUUACUGUAGUGUACAGUACAGAUUGCUGUAAAUUUUGCAAAUUUGCUCAAAAACCUAUUUUUAGAUUUAAUUUUUGCAAAUAUACAUGUACACUGUGUGCCAUGACUGACAUCUUAAAUUGUUAAUGUAGGUUUUAUCUGCCAAAUUUAUAGUAUUCUAAAUAAUAUUAUGCGGAGUAAUUAAUUUACAUGUAUUUGUUGUUAUUUUUAGAUGAUACUUUAGUGUGUUACAUAAAUGUUUUCUCGUUAUAUCAGAGUGUCCCUCCAGCAUUAUACAUGAAUAAUGGCUCACUUCAGUUACUACCAAUAAGAGUGAUAAUGAAUGAAGGAAUACCCUUUAACCAUUUAUUUUUAACUGAGGGUGCAUCUUGAACAAUAGCAAUGAAUUAUUAAUUCAAUUUCACAAUUUAUGUGUAAUUUGUGUAUAGUUAGGGAGUAAUAUAUAUGUUGGUAAGUACAUGUCUACAUACAUUGUACAUAUGUUUAUUUAUUUAUAAUUUAUUUUUUAUGUAGAUCCUAAAAGCAUUCAAUAGAAACAAUAACAAUGAAAUGCAAUUGGUAGUCUUACAGCCCCAGACGAGUAUAGUUGUACUUUGCAUCAAAUCUCCCCUGCAUACUCACCAAUAUAUGAUCAUAGAUAUUAAAUGAUAUUAAUUUUUUUUUCAUUUACUCUAUUAUCUAUGAUAAUUAUGAUGAAGUGGUAUAGGCCCCUCCCAGUGACACACCUACUUUAGUAGAGACUGGUGCAGAGUCUAGACUAGUAACAGAUGAUGAAGUGUUCAUUCAUACCAGUCUAAUGUAUGCAGAAAGAAAAUGAUGUCUUUUCCAGUUCAUGCUCUCCUCCGGUCCUCCCCUCUCUUCUUCUCUCACUUGGGACUUAAUGACUCAAUGGAGUUCAUUAACUCCACACUUUGGCAUCCCCUCUACGCUAAUGGAUUCAAUUAAGAAACGUAUGGUACAAAUAUUACUUCGUUUUGAAUUUUACUAUUAUUUCAAAAUUGAAGAAGAAGAGGAAUAUGUAACAGAAACGGUGGUGCAGUUGCUCAGAGGUUAUUAUUCUCCAACAAUAAUGGGCAAACUAUUAGAGGAUGUCAUAGUGUCUGAAUACAGUGUAAAGUGCUUUGCUUUGUUAAGAAGAAUUUUUGAGGAUUUAAUGAUACCAUUACCAUCAUGUCUCUGCUCUCCUUCCUCGUCUGUCCCCGUUACACCAGUGUCCUUGUUCAAGGACAACUUCAGUGAAGAGGAGAAGUGUAAGUCUCCUACUGAGGCUACUAUAUCAGAAGAACCAAUACUGAAGACUACUAGUUUAGCACGAAGGGCCAUUUUUCAAGGACUGGCAUAUCAAAGAAAUCCAAAAGACAGUUUGUAGAAGGAGUUUGUUCACUAGCAAUAGAGGAGUGAAAAACAUGACAGAGGAAAGAAAAGACUCAGGGAAAAACUAAAGGAUGAUGUGCUUGUAAUAGACACCCCAAA
rnacentral:misc_RNA from 1 species